UGAGUCGGCCAGGCGGCCGCGUCGGGCACCCCUCGGGGUGACCCGCCGAGGAACGUCCGGGCUCCACAGGGCAAGGUGAUGGCUAACGGCCACCCGGGGUGACCCGCGGGACAGUGCCACAGAAAACAGACCGCCCGCCGCCUCGGCGGUGGGUCAGGGUGAAACGGUGGUGUAAGAGACCACCAGCACGCCAGGUGACUGGCGUGGCUCGGUAAACCCCACCUGGAGCAAGACCAGAUAUGUGCGUGUCCGAGGGCUGCCCGCCCGAGCGCACGGGUAGGUCGCUGGAGGUAUGCGGCAACGCAUGCCGUAGAUGGAUGGUCGCCACCCUCGCAGUGCCGGUGACGGCGCGAGGGGACAGAACCCGGCGUACCGGCCGGCUCAUCCA
rnacentral:RNase_P_RNA from 1 species